UGAAAGACAAUUUAGAGAGGGGAGAGACUUGAGAUCAGGAGAUCCCCCCCCAAAAAAAAGGAAGGAAGGAAGGAAGGAAGGAAGAAAGAAAGAAAGAAACAAAGGAAGGAAGGAAGGAAGGAAGGAAGGAAGGAAGGAAGGAAGGAAGGAAGGAAGGAAGGAAGGAAGGAAGGAAGGAAGGAAGGAAGGAAGGAAGGAAGGAAGGAAGGAAGGAAGGAAGGAAGGAAGGAAGGAAGGAAGGAAGGAAGGAAGGAAGGAAGGAAGGAAGGAAGGAAGGAAGGAAGGAAGGAAGGAAGGAAGAAAGAAAGAAAGAAAGAAAGAAAGAAAGGAAGAAGGAAGAAUGAAAGAAGGAAGAAAGAAAGAAAGAAAGAAAGAAAGAAGAAAGAAUGAAACUAAGAA
rnacentral:lncRNA from 1 species